rnacentral:tRNA from 1 species
GGGAGUAUAACUCAGUUGGUUAGAGUAAUAGCUUUUUUAUGCGUGGGUUCGAUUCCCACUCUCA